GAUCGCACCACUGCACUCCAGCCUGGGUGACAGAGCAAGGCUCCGUCUCAGAGGGAAACAAAAAAAGGAAAUUAUUAGUAGUAGUAUCAUCUGCUCACUCCAUUUCACUUUUGCUAUCAGACACAAAUUUAUAGUAAACAUUUCCAGUUAGGAAUUAAAGAGAAAGCUAGAUACCAUCUCCCACUCUGGUGUUUCAAGAGGAUAAUUAGAUACCUUAAAGCCCACUCUACAACUUCUUAGAGCUCUUUCUUCUCUUCCACAAUUUAGAUCAAAUACAGGAAAAACUAUGAAAAAUCAAAGGACAAAUUUACCUCAAUUGUGGAUACUCCAGAACACCUGCGUACUACAAAAGUCAACAAACAAAUCAGCGAUAUCCUUUAUAAAUUGGAAUACAACAAGGCCAAACCCAGAGGCUACACCACAAUCCACGACACGCCCAUGUUGCUGCAUGUCCGCAAGGUUAAAGAUGAAGUCAGUGAUGUAAGUACUAGAAUGGUUUAGCAGUCCCUCUCAUCUUGGCCUCCUUCUAAUGUGAUGUAACAAACCCUGGUCCAGUUAUCUAUUUCUGUGUAACAACCACCCUAAAACUUAGUGGAUUAAAAUAAUAGUCAUCUCUUUUGCUCAUGAUUCGGUAAGUUGACUGGACACAGCUGAAUAGUCCUACUCCCCAUGUUGCUGGCAGACACCUGGGGCUCAGUCAAGCCAGGACAUCCAGGUGGCUCACUCCCAUGGCUAGCCAUUGGUGAUGGCUGCGGGCUGGGAGCUGGGCUACUGUGUAGACGAGACAGGAACCCCUUCAUGUGGCCUCUCCACAUGCCUGGGACUUCUCCCCA
rnacentral:sRNA from 1 species